rnacentral:misc_RNA from 1 species
GUCGAGGAAUUAUCGCUAUCAUCAUCCAGUAUUUCAGUCGCAACAGAAGAUGGGGAGCUAACGGAAGAUGAGGAAAUGAAUAUUGAGUGGGAACUUUCAAUGGCCAUUAACAAUCAUAAUUUUUCAAUUGAGGAUUCUUAUAUGUUUGAUGUUGAUGAUGAUCAUACAUUUUUGGAACAAUUGGUGGAUAGUGACAUUCAUGAGAGGGGAAGUCCACCAGCUGCAAAAAGAGCUGUUGAAAACCUUCCUCUGGUAUGCUUGGGAAAGGAGGAUUUUGUGGUUUGUGCUAUUUGCAAGGAUGAGGUGAAGGAGGGGGAGAUGGUAAAUAAGUUGCCUUGUUGCCAUUAUUAUCAUGGAGAGUGUAUUGUGCCUUGGUUGAGGAUAAAGAAUACUUGUCCUGUUUGUCGACAUGAGUUGCCCACUGAUGAUCAGGACAAUGAGAGCAGGAACAGUAGGAGAAGGAGACUGAGAGGUGCAGGUGGGAUUUCCAUCGAUUCAACAGAGGGGUAGAAGUUUGAAAUGUUUGCUUAUUUUAGGAUUUGAAACUUUGUGAAUAGUGUUUCCUUUCAGUUCAUAUUAAUCUAUGUAUAGGUUAUAUAUUUAUAAUGCAUUCAAUGUUUGCUAGAAUGCAUUCCGUUGACUGAAUUAUCUUUAAGCUGAGUUAUAUUGAUAAUUGCAUAUG